UAUCUCUGUAGAGUCUGCAUAUCAAUAAGCGGAGGAAAAGAAACUAACAAGGAUUCCCUUAGUAACGGCGAGUGAAGCAGGAAGAGCUCAAAUUUGAAAUCUUCAAGGUUUUACCUUGACGAAUUGUAGUUUAAAGAAGUGUUUUCUGUUGAAGUUUCGGUAAAAGUUCUUUGGAAUAGGACAUCAUAGAGGGUGAGAAUCCCGUAUUUGACCGUUAUUUUCAGCUGUGUGAUACACUUUCAAAGAGUCGGAUUGUUUGGGAAUGCAGUCCAAAAUGGGUGGUAAAUUUCAUCUAAAGCUAAAUAUUGGCGAGAGACCGAUAGCAAACAAGUACCGUGAGGGAAAGAUGAAAAGAACUUUGAAAAGAGAGUUAAACAGUACGUGAAAUUGUCAAAAGGGAAGCGUUUGACACCAGUGUUGUUUUUCCGAAAAUCAAUUACGAAUGGCUUGAUUCUGUGUUGUAUUGACCUUAUCAGCUUUCUUCACUUUUUUCGAGUCUUUCUUAAUGCACUUUUCGGUUAACAAGUCAACAUCAAUUUCUUUUGUUGUAAAAGAGUCAUUCGGAAGGUGGCUUUCUUUUCGGAGAAAGUGUUUAUAGCCUUUGGCCUCUGCAAUCGGAGAGAUUGAGGUCUGCAGCGUAGAUCCUUCGGGGUUAGAUACAUUUGUGCUAAGUUAUAACCGUUUCAUAGACAACUUGUUGACUAUGAUCGAUCAUGUAGCUUACUCCGCUUAUGCUAAUUUUACCUACGCUUAGGAUGUUGAAGAUGUAGCACAUCAU
rnacentral:rRNA from 1 species